AUUAUUUUUUGUAAAAAAAAAAUCUGUCGUAUCAGUUUAUAUCUUGAGACGUCCCCAUCGGGACUAACAUAUUAAAUGGAUUUUUUCGAAACAGGGAUCGGAAAGGGGGCUUGUGCUCCGUCAGCUCCACGCAUCGACCCGGUAUUGGCAGUACCGCCGGGAAAGGUGCAACACUU
rnacentral:snRNA from 1 species